rnacentral:rRNA from 1 species
UACGUAGGGGGCUAGCGUUGUCCGGAUUUAUUGGGCGUAAAGAGCGUGUAGGCGGCCAUACAGGUCCGUUGUGAAAACUCGAGGCUCAACCUCGAGACGUCGAUGGAAACCGUAUGGCUAGAGUCCGGAAGAGGAGAGUGGAAUUCCUGGUGUAGCGGUGAAAUGCGCAGAUAUCAGGAAGAACACCCGUGGCGAAGGCGGCUUUCUGGGACGGUACUGACGCUGAGACGCGAAAGCGUGGGGAGCGAACAGG